rnacentral:misc_RNA from 1 species
AAAUCAUUAGUCCUCCUUAGCAGAAGCUUCUGCUAUUAAUGAAAAUUUUGGCAAACACAAUAAACUACGGUGCUAGAUAUAGCUUCUCAUGUUAAUAAUAGUAGCACAGAAAGCAGUUACAUCAAGUAGAUCUAAUUCAUAAUGGUCUAUUAUGGAACAUGAACAUUUCAAAUGGCAAAGUAAGAAUUCUAGAAGAUAAAUUAAUUACACAGUAGCAAAACCAACAAAACUUUCUAGGAAGUGGCUGAUCAAUUAGACAAAAAAAAAGUAUUUAAUAAAUCUAGCAACUAAAAACAUGAGUGAUAACAGUUAAAUAAAUUAACCAACAACUACUUGCAAAUGAAUGAAAAGAUAUCUUGCUGUUUUUCUUUUCCAUGACAUCUGCAAAACAUGAAGUGUUGAUUGAUCAUGAACUGUAAUACACACAGGCAAGCCUGCUUUAUGCAAAGAAAUUGUAAAGCAAACUUUUAUAGGUGCCAAAAGCAAACAUGAAAAGCUAAAGAAAUACAUAC